GGGGGGGGCAAGCGUUGUUCGGAAUUACUGGGCGUAAAGGGCUCGUAGGUGGCCAACUAAGUCAGACGUGAAAUCCCCAGGCUCAACUUGGGAACUGCGUCUGAUACUGGAUGGCUUGAAUUCGGGAGAGGGAUGCAGAAUUCCAGGUGUAGCGGUGAAAUGCGUAGAUAUCUGGAGGAAUACCGGUGGCGAAGGCGGCAUCCUGGACCGACAUUGACACUGAGGAGCGAAAGCCAGGGGAGCAAACGGGAUUAGAUACCCCGGUAGUCCUGGCCCUAAACGAUGAAUGCUUGGUGUGACGGGUAUCGAUCCCUGUCGUGCCGAAGCUAACGCAUUAAGCAUUCCGCCUGGGGAGUACGGUCGCAAGGCUGAA
rnacentral:rRNA from 1 species